rnacentral:rRNA from 1 species
AUGCGGGUGAUUAAACUCCCAAAAUGGGCAACCACUCUUAUUAACUCGCAGCUAGCUAAUUGCUUUUGGGAUGAUUAUGAAGGCCACCAUAAAUAUCAUCUUACUUCUUGGGGGACUUUUGCCCUCAAGAAGGAAUAUGGUGGUCUUGGUAUUACUAAUAUUGCUGAUAGGAAUUUAUGCCUCCUUGCUUCUUGGGCUAAAAGGUACUUCUCUGGAGAUAAUAAGAUCUGGAAACUUAUUAUUGAUGACAAGUACAACACUAGCAAGCCGAAUAUUUUUGCAUGCUCCAGUAAUGGGGCUUCCCCUCUAUGGAAAGGUAUAUUAUGGGCCAUUAAAGCCUCUAAGAUGGGGUACUCUUGGGUUGUGGGUAAUGGCAAGAAAAUUCGUUUUUGGGAGGACCAGUGGUUUGGUACUGCGCCACUAUCCACUCAAUUUUGGGGCUUGUAUUCUUUGGCUAAUGAUCACAACAUCUCUAUUUAUAAAAUUUGGGAUGGAGUUGAUCUAAAGAUCACCUUUAGGAGAUGUCUGGGGGGUGAUCUUUUGUCUGACUAG